rnacentral:lncRNA from 1 species
AAUAUUGAAGUGUAGUAAUGAAAUAUAUAGUAUUGAAAGCAUGUGCAAUCAAUAUAUUACUUUUAAUUAUUGCUUAGAAUUAUUGGCAUAAUGUUGAUUCAAAUUAUUCCAAAAAAAAUUCUAAAGUGAUCUAUCAUUCAUUAAUAUUAAUUGUUUAUGGGCAUUUUUCCAAGGAAAUCAAAUCCAAUUCAUCACGUGUAGCACCUCUCCCAUUUUAUUCAUGUGCACCCUCCCCC